rnacentral:rRNA from 1 species
GCGAGUGAAGAGGGAAGAGCCCAAGAUUGAAAGCUGGCGUCUUCGGCGUCCGCAUUGUAAUCUCAAGAAGUGUUUUCCGCUUCGGACCAUGCCUAAGUCCCUUGGAAAAGGGCAUCAUAGAGGGUGAUAAUCCCGUACAUGGCAUGGAGCGCCCGAAGCUUUGUGAUACACUUUCUAAGAGUCGAGUUGUUUGGGAAUGCAGCUCAAAAUGGGUGGUAAAUGCCAUCUAAGGCUAAAUAUUGGGGAGAGACCGAUAGCGAACAAGUACAGUGAUGGAAAGAUGAAAAGAACUUUGAAAAGAGAGUUAAACAGUACGUGAAAUUGCCAAAAGGGAAGGGUAGGAGGUCAGAGAUGCGGCCUAGGAUUCAGCCUUGCUUUUGCUUGGUGUUUUUCCUAGAUUGCAGGCCAACGUCGGUUUUGGGCACUGGAGAAGGGUAGGAGGAACGUGGCACCUCUCGGGGUGUGUUAUAGCCUCCUACUGGAUACAGCGACCGAGACCGAGGACAGCAGCGUACUCGCAAGAGCGGGCCUUCGGGCACCUUUACGCUUAGGGCGUUGGCAUAAUGGCCCUCUACCACCCGUCUUGAAACACGGACCAAGGAGUCUAACAUGUAUGCGAGUCUUUGGGUGGCAAACCCAUAGGCGCAAUGAAAGUGAAUUCAGGUGGGAUCCGCAAGGUGCACCAUCGACCGAUCCUCACGUCUUUUAAGUCGUGGAUUUGAGUAAGAGCAUACCUGUUGGGACCCGAAAGAUGGUGAACUAUGCCUGAAUAGGGUGAAGCCAGAGGAAACUCUGGUGGAGGCUCGUAGCGGUUCUGACGUGCAAAUCGAUCGUCAAAUUUGGUAUA